AUGAGUGUUGGCUCUGGAGAGAUGAACAAAGAAAAGGGAGCACAUUGCUGGAGAAUUGAGCACAGACGUGAAGCGGAUUCAGCUUCGAAGGAGCAGUGCUGCCAGACUAUAAUAAAUCAUCCCCACGGGCCUCGAAUAUUGUGCCAUACAAGAGAAAUUUGGGAAGGAUACAUAUUUGCUAAUUUGGUGUAGAAGUACCACUUCUAUAUCUCCACUGGGUCUCCUGAUCUGCCACAGGGAGUGGCUAAAAUUCAGUUCUGCUGUGCCAAUUAGGGUUCCCUGGUUGCAAUCAAGAGAAAUUGACUCUGACUGAUUUAAGCCAAAGGGAAUAUAGUGAAAAGAUGCUGGAAGUUCAGAGAGUUGACAGGUAAGUUGGAGACUAAGUAUGAGAGAAACAGGAGAAAUAGCAACCUGGAAACCUGGAAUCAAGGACUACAGGAACUGGAAGAGUGAAGACACAGCAGGAGAGUCUGGCUACGCUCCAGGGUGAUUAAACUCUGAUCAUGCAUUGUCUGCUUGUUCCUUUGUUCAAAAUUCAAAUUCCAGGGAACGAGUGUCCAGUUGGCUUUAGGUCACAUGUCUACUCCUUUUAUCACUGACAGCAGGAUUCCUGAUUAGGAUUCCAUCAUACAAUACCCUGAGGGGAAGAGGUAACCCCUCCACGGAAACGAAGGUGGUGGUAAGAAGGGGAAAUGGACCCCGGGAUGCCAAAAUUCCAUGAACAUACACCACAUGUGAGCGUUAGCCUGUACCCUCAGAUUUCAUCCACACUAUCUUACAUUUUUGCUCAUUCAAUUUCUUCUCACAUCUUAAUUAACUGAAUUCUUGCUGGCUCUGUACCUCAAAAUUGGUCAUCAGCUUUGUGUUCCUGGCUUUGGAUGAUUUGUUGAGAGGUCACAUCUUAAUGGGUGAGAAGAGACUAUUUGGAAUCAGUUGAAUUUGGAGUCAAAUACCAACUGCUCCACUCACCUACCUAUGUGAUCCUGGACAAAUCACUCAACUUUUCUAAGCCUCAGUUUCCUAAUUUAUCAUGAAUUUUUGGAGAAUUCAAUGGGAGUAAUAUAUGUAAUGCUUUUAGAAAAUGCUUAAUAAAUAAUCUAAUGUAUUAUUAUGGCUGGAGUUG
rnacentral:lncRNA from 1 species